UACGGAGGAUCCAAGCGUUAUCCGGAAUCACUGGGCUUAAAGGGUCCGUAGGCGGGUUGCUAAGUCAGUGGUGAAAGUCUGCAGCUCAACUGUAGAAUUGCCACUGAUACUGUUAACCUUGAGUAAUUAUGAAGUGGUUAGAAUAUGUAGUGUAGCGGUGAAAUGCAUAGAUAUUACAUAGAAUACCGAUUGCGAAGGCAGGUCACUAAUAAUUCACUGACGCUGAUGGACGAAAGCGUAGGUAGCGACCAGG
rnacentral:misc_RNA from 1 species